CUGGCUGUAGCUGUUAUGGAAUGGGGACCCGAAAACAGAGUAAUGGGUGACAAGGUGUUUUAUUAACAGCAGUGGCACACAAACAGACAUCAGGGUGAACAUUAUGGAGAGGAAGACACUGGAAACAAGACACUGGAGAAGAUCGAAGAUUUUACCAAGUUAAAACUGUUUUUUUGCAAUGGUCUGCACAGAAACAGCAGACAGGCUGAAGGAAAAUUUGCUCUCUGAUGCUUAUGGAACAGCCGAAAUGCAGCGGUUCCCCCUGUACACAAAGCAGCACUGCGCAACUUACUGUGUCUGACACCCGCUUGUCAAGAGAGAGUAAUUCGCAACAUUGCCUGUGAGGAUGGGGAGGUGCUCUGACACCAAGAGGAGAGAGCAAGUGUUUCUAAUGGACCCCACAUCUCUCUGAAUGUCUGCAACAAGCCCCCUGGCACUGCCAAAUAGACUCUGAACUCCCAGAGAAGAAAAUAAAUGUCACAAAAAUGUUUCUGAGCUGUUCAUGUUGAGGGCUCUCUAGGUGACUGUUUUCUUCCAGUGUUGUUCAAAAACAUUCAACUCUGAAUUGCCCUUUUAUGAUUCUUUACUAGGCUAGUUGUUUUAUCUGAAUAACAUAUCUGUCUGUAAUGCACAUUAAAUUAUGAAGCUGUGUGUAAUAGAAGGUGUGUAGAUUUUCUUAUAUAUUUUUUAACUGUGACAAUGUAACAUGUUUGUAUGGCUUUUUUAUUAUUAUUUUGAAUACUGUAGAGGAAAAUAUGAAUAAAUAUACUUAAUUUCAAUAGUCCA